UGAGUAAUGUCUGGGAAACUGCCUGAUGGAGGGGGAUAACUACUGGAAACGGUAGCUAAUACCGCAUAACGUCGCAAGACCAAAGAGGGGGACCUUCGGGCCUCUUGCCAUCAGAUGUGCCCAGAUGGGAUUAGCUAGUAGGUGGGGUAAUGGCUCACCUAGGCGACGAUCCCUAGCUGGUCUGAGAGGAUGACCAGCCACACUGGAACUGAGACACGGUCCAGACUCCUACGGGAGGCAGCAGUGGGGAAUAUUGCACAAUGGGCGCAAGCCUGAUGCAGCCAUGCCGCGUGUGUGAAGAAGGCCUUCGGGUUGUAAAGCACUUUCAGCGAGGAGGAAGGUGGUGAGCUUAAUACGCUCAUCAAUUGACGUUACUCGCAGAAAAAGAAAAAAGCUAACUCCGUGCCAGCAGCCGCGGUAAUACGGAGGGUGCAAGCGUUAAUCGGAAUUACUGGGCGUAAAGCGCACGCAGGCGGUUUGUUAAGUCAGAUGUGAAUCCCCGGG
rnacentral:rRNA from 1 species